UGGAGGGGUAUGUCUUGUCUAUAUGUACCCCACCAGUCUAGAGGGGUAUGUCUUGUCUAUGUGUACCCCACCAGUCUAGAGGGGUAUAUCUUGUCUAUAUGUACCCCACCAGUCUAGGGGUGGAGGGGUAUGUCUUGUCUAUAUGUACCCCACCAGUCUAGGGGUGGAGGGGUAUGUCUUGUCUAUGUGUACCCCACCAGUCUAGGGGUGGAGGGGUAUGUCUUGUCUAUGUGUACCCCACCAGUCUAGAGGGGUAUGUCUUGUCUAUGUGUACCCCACCAGUCUAGAGGGGUAUGUCUUGUCUAUAUGUACCCCACCAGUCUAGAGGGGUAUGUCUUGUCUAUAUGUACCCCACCAGUCUAGGGGGGUAUGUCUUGUCUAUAUGUACCCCACCAGUCUAGGGGGGUAUGUCUUGUCUAUAUGUACCCCACCAGUCUAGGGGUGGAGGGGUAUGUCUUGUCUAUAUGUACCCCACCAGUCUAGAGGGGUAUGUCUUGUCUAUGUGUACCCCACCAGUCUAGAGGGGUAUGUCUUGUCUAUAUGUACCCCACCAGU
ensembl:lncRNA